AACGAACGCUGGCGGCAUGCCUAACACAUGCAAGUCGAACGAGACCUUCGGGUCUAGUGGCGCACGGGUGCGUAACGCGUGGGAAUCUGCCCUUGGGUUCGGAAUAACUCGCCGAAAGGCGUGCUAAUACCGGAUGAUGACGUAAGUCCAAAGAUUUAUCGCCCAAGGAUGAGCCCGCGUUGGAUUAGCUAGUUGGUGAGGUAAAGGCUCACCAAGGCGACGAUCCAUAGCUGGUCUGAGAGGAUGAUCAGCCACACUGGGACUGAGACACGGCCCAGACUCCUACGGGAGGCAGCAGUGGGGAAUAUUGGACAAUGGGCGAAAGCCUGAUCCAGCAAUGCCACGUGAGUGAUGAAGGCCUUAGGGUUGUAAAGCUCUUUUACCCGGGAUGAUAAUGACCGUACCGGGAGAAUAAGCUCCGGCUAACUCCGUG
rnacentral:rRNA from 1 species